GGGAAUCUUCCGCAAUGGGCGAAAGCCUGACGGAGCAACGCCGCGUGAGGGAUGAAGGCCUCUGGGCUGUAAACCUCUUUUAUCAAGGAAGAAGAUCUGACGGUACUUGAUGAAUAAGCCACGGCUAAUUCCGUGCCAGCAGCCGCGGUAAUACGGGAGUGGCAAGCGUUAUCCGGAAUUAUUGGGCGUAAAGCGUCCGCAGGCGGUCUUACAAGUCUGUCGUUAAAGCGUGGAGCUUAACUCCAUUUCAGCGAUGGAAACUGUAAGACUAGAGUGUGGUAGGGGCAGAGGGAAUUCCCGGUGUAGCGGUGAAAUGCGUAGAUAUCGGGAAGAACACCAGUGGCGAAGGCGCUCUGCUGGGCCAUAACUGACGCUCAUGGACGAAAGCCAGGGGAGCGAAAGGGAUUAGAUACCCCUGUAGUC
rnacentral:rRNA from 1 species